AACGUAGGCAGCAAGCGUUGUUCGGAUUUACUGGGCGUAAAGGGUGCGUAGGCGGGUUUGUAAGUUUGGUGUGAAAUCUCCCGGCUUAACUGGGAGGGUGCGCCGAAAACUGCAAGGCUAGAGUGCAGGAGAGGAGGGUGGAAUUCCUGGUGUAGCGGUGAAAUGCGUAGAUAUCAGGAGGAACACCAGUGGCGAAGGCGGCCGUCUGGACCGUUACCGACGCUGAAACACGAAAGCGUGGGGAGCAAACAGG
rnacentral:rRNA from 1 species